CUUAGGCUUCAAUUUUGCUCCUAGCUCUUCUCCCAACCCUUGAUUCUUCAAGUCCUCUUCUCUCUAACCCUUUUCUCCUCUUUCUCCCACUUUCUCUCUCUAUUCUCUCCAAAAAUAUCUUAUGAAUGAAAGUAUGAGGAAAUUUCUCAUAAGUGUAGGUUUUUAUAUCAAGUCUCCUUAAUGGACCCAACCCUCCACUUAAUGGACUUAACCCAUUUCUAUUUACAUCUUGAAUGUUUCUACACUCUAACGGUAAUUCACUAAACCUUAAAUAUUACUCUAGUAACUUAGUAAAACAUCGGUUCUCACUACUCACCAAAAGUAAUUCUCACCAAAACUUAUAAUUUACCUGUUCUCACAAAAUGACCAAAAUACCCUUCUAACACAGAAACAAUGAAAAUGCACCUAAUGAUGAAUAAUCACACACAAACACAUAAAACACAUAAUAAAAAUAAUUAAAAUAAAUCUAGCUAAAAAUCGGGUUGUUACACCUUAUACAUUAUAAAUUUAUCAAUGACAGACUUGGAGGAAAAAAGAGUAUACUGUUCUUGCUUACUCUUAAAUGAAAUAAAUAAAAAUGAACUUAUAAAUCAACAAUUGGAGUUGCCUUAAUCAGAAAGAAAAUUCUAACCCUAACAAUUGAAGUAAACAAACAAACGAGAGAAGUUGAAUUCAGGGCUUCAGAGAUUUAUUUUCAAAUUACAAUAAGGAGGAUGCACCGGAAGAAGUCGAAUUUUUAUUAAACAUGAGAAAAUCUAUCUCAUAUUUAAUGUUUAGGGUUUAUUUGAUUUCUUCCUUUUAAAAUGAUCAGCAGGCUGGCUAGCAGGAUGUAACAAGCUUGUGGCCGAAUGGAUAUUCAGCAAGGAUUCGUUUGUACCCUCUGCAUGAUGUUCUUUAUGGAUUUAAGAGUGUUUUACUAUAUUUUGGAUAGAUAGUGUUGUAUUAUUCUAUGUAUGAACGCGAAUUGUUGUGUAUAAUAUUCAUUCGAAUUCUUUAUGUUGUAAAUUUUAAUGUAUCCA